rnacentral:rRNA from 1 species
CACGUAGGGGGGCAAGCGUUGUCCGGAUUUAUUGGGCGUAAAGAGCUCGUAGGCGGUUCGGUAAGUCGGGUGUGAAACCUCCAGGCUCAACCUGGAGACGCCACCUGAUACUGCUGUGACUCGAGUCCGGUAGGGGAGCGUGGAAUUCCUGGUGUAGCGGUGAAAUGCGCAGAUAUCAGGAGGAACACCAGCGGCGAAGGCGGCGCUCUGGGCCGGAACUGACGCUGAGGAGCGAAAGCGUGGGUAGCAAACAGG